AACGAACGCUGGCGGCGUGCCUAACACAUGCAAGUCGAACGAGAAAGGGGCUUCGGCUCCGAGUAAAGUGGCGCACGGGUGAGUAACACGUGGGUAACCUGCCUCUAAGAUUGGGAUAACUCGUCGAAAGAUGAGCUAAUACCGAAUAAGACCACAGUUCCCGCGGGAACAGGGGUCAAAGGUAGCCUCUGCUUGCAAGCUAUCACUUAGAGAUGGGCCUGCGCACCAAUAGCUAGUUGGUAGGGUAACGGCCUACCAAGGCAAAGAUGGUUAGCUGGUCUGAGAGGAUGAUCAGCCACACUGGAACUGAGACACGGUCCAGACUCCUACGGGAGGCAGCAGUGGGGAAUAUUGCGCAAUGGGCGAAAGCUUGACGCAGCAACGCCGCGUGAGUGAUGAAGGCCUUCGGGUCGUAAAGCUCUGUCGGGAGGAACGAAUGCUCCUGAGGUUAACAGCCUCGGGAGGUGACGGUACCUUCAAAGGAAGCACCGGCUAACUCUGUG
rnacentral:rRNA from 1 species